rnacentral:lncRNA from 1 species
GGCGGGACUAUGGAAGGAAGACACCUUUUUCUUAAAGAGGUGGAAAGAAGGAAAGAGAGAGGCCUGUCUGACCUUGGGUACACACCUAGCAAAAGGCAUAAGAUUCACCUACAUCAGUCAAAGUCCUCCCUUGAGGAUCACCAUGUGGAAGCUCUGGGGAUUUCACAACCAGCGCAGUGAACUCCAGAUGAACUCGGAUGAUCCUUUUUUUUCCUAAUCCAGCAGCCAGGAGACAGUGAAGGGGCACUGCUGUGGGCAUGAGUACAAAGUUCUCUUCCACAGGCUGUUGUUACCACUCUGACGAACUGUGAGUACCUUCUCUGCUGACAGAGAACUCCCUACAAGCUGGAAUAAGUAAAAACAGGAAUGGCUGGACAACCACCUCACUAUCCUUCCCACACUGUGAGGGCUUAGCUGAUGGGAAACACCACACUCUCAGGCUCUGGCCAUUCUUUCUGAUUCUCUCUGAAGGGCUCUAACCUGAAGGGCUCUAGUAGGCCAGAGCAUGGCAAACAUGGUUCUGAUAGGCCUUGGCCCCCCCCCAUCCCCUCUGCCCUGCAAAACUGUUAGAUUACAUUCCUAAAGCUAGCCACCAGGGUCUAUUCCUUUGUUUGACCACUUCCUCCUCUGAGGCCGACUGCUAAAGGUCUAGAUCUCCAAGUAUUGAAGUCAAUACCCCUUUGAAUCAAUCAAUUGAAUCAAAUACACCUUUUGGCUCACCUAAUUAACAUGCCCAAUCAAAACAAACCAUAGGGUCCUUACAUAGGGUUUUUCUUUCUCC